rnacentral:rRNA from 1 species
AACGAACGCUGGCGGCAUGCCUAACACAUGCAAGUCGAACGAGACCUUCGGGUCUAGUGGCGCACGGGUGCGUAACGCGUGGGACCCUGCACUUAGGUUCGGCAUAACUCCCCGAAAGGGGUGCUAAUACCGGAUAAUGUCUUCGGACCAACGAUUUAUCGCCUUUGGAUGGGCCCGCGUUGGAUUAGCUAGUUGGAAGGGUAAAAGCCUACCAAGGCGACGAUCCAUAGCUGGUCUGAGAGGAUGAUCAGCCACACUGGGACUGAGACACGGCCCAGACUCCGACGGGAGGCAGCAGUGGGGAAGAUUGGACAAUGGGCGAAAGCCUGAGCCAGCAAGGCUGCGUGAGUGAUGAAGGCCUUAGGGUUGUAAAGCUCUUUUACCCGGGAUGAUAAUGACAGUACCGGGAGAAUAAGCUCCGGCUAACUCCGUG